UCGCUCGCUGCUGCCACUUCGCUUGAACUCAUUUGCAAUUGCGAACGCUUCUUCUCCCAGUCCCAGCACGCCCAACCCCGUCGCCGCCUUCUCGAACCUUCCGAAGAUGAGCCCCCCGGCCCCGGCCGCCGCGGCGGCGGCGGCGCCGCGAACGGUCGCCUCGGCGGUGCUCCGCGUCCAGAUGGCGCUCCUCGACGGCGCCGCGGUGUCCAGCGAGGCCCUCAUCCACGCGGCCGCCUCCGCGCUCCUCUCCCGCGCCGACUACGACGACGUCGUCACCGAGCGCACCAUCUCGGACGUCUGCGGCAACCCCGCGUGCCCCAACCCUCUCUCCUCCUCCUCCGCCGCCGCCACGGGGCCCCGCUUCCACAUCGCCCUCAGCGAGCACCGCGUCUACGACCUCGAGGAGGCGCGCAAGUUCUGCUCCGAGCGCUGCCUCGUCGCCUCCAAGGCCUUGGCCGCCUCGCUCCCGCACGACCGGCCCUACGGGGUCCCGCUCGACCGCCUCGCCGCGGUCGUCGCGCUCGUUGAGGGCGCCGCCGCAGGGGACGGGAGCGGGUUAGGGUUCCAGGGACUGGAUGGGAAUGGGAAGGUGGAGGACGGGGGAAGGAAGGUGGAGAUCAAGGAGAAGCAGGUCGCCGGGGCUGGCGAGGUCUUGCUGCAGGACUGGGUUGGGCCCUCCGAUGCCAUUGAGGGUUAUGUGCCGCGCCAUGACCGCAGUGCUCAUGGACAAAAGCCACAGGUUCAGCAGAACGAAGGUGCUGGACCUGAACUGUCCAGAACUGAGAAUGUGGAUUAUGGUGCUGCUGCUCCUGGUGAAGAUGGCAUGACAAGUUCACCUUCAUUGGUUAAAACACACGUGAGCUCCGAAGUAAUAGUUGAGAGAAUGGGCAGCCUGGUUCUUGGUGAGAAUACAAGGACGCCUAGAAAGAAGAAAACUAAAACUCCAUCAAAGAUGUUAGAGCAAGAGGAAGAUAACAGUAUGCUGUCAUCUUGCAUAUCUGAUUCCAUUGCCAAGCAGCUUGAGGAUGUAGUUUUGGAAGAGAGAAAAGGCAGUCAGAAAAAUAAAAUGAGUAAAGCAUCAUCAAGAGCACAGAAGGGUAAGUCUACAAAAAGGCCUGCUUCGACAAACAUGGAGGAAAAUGCUAUGAAUCAGUAUAACUACUUGUCAAGUUCUGUAUUGGUAGACAAUCACCCCUCAUCAUCUCAAUCUUCAGAAAAAGAUUCAACACAGGCUUACUCUGAACAACUGUGUGAAGAAUUCAGUGAAGCAGUGAACAUUGGAAAUGAUGAGACAAGUGAUGAAAAGAUGAGACCUGCAUGGAAGUCUUCGUUGAAAGUUGCCGGGUCUAAGAGCAGUAGGCAGUCUGUUACAUGGGCAGAUGAGAAUGGAAGUGUCCUAGAAACAAGCAAAGCAUAUGAAAGCCCUUCAAGUAGUAUAAAACGACCUGAGGAAGGCAUAGACAAUUCACUAAGGCGUGCAUCUGCUGAAGCGUGUGCUGCAGCACUUGUUGAGGCAGCAGAAGCUAUUUCUUCAGGCACAGCAGAAGCAGAAGAUGCAGUUUCAAAUGCUGGAAUCAUCAUUCUGCCUGACAUGCUUAACCAGCAAGAACAUGACAAUGGCAAAAACAGUGGCGGAGAUGAUGACCCUGAGAUAGAUAGGGAUGUUAUCAAGUGGCCUAAGAAACCUGUACUUCUGGAUACAGACUUGUUUGAAGUUGAUGAUUCUUGGCAUGACAUGCCUCCAGAAGGUUUUAGUCUAACUCUGUCUGCUUUCGGGACGAUGUGGGCCGCGCUAUUCGGAUGGAUAUCCAGUUCGUCUUUGGCCUAUGUGUAUGGGCUUGAAAGGGGUUCAGUGGAGGAGUUGUUGAUUGCCAAUGGGAGGGAAUGUCCUGAGAAGACAGUUCUGAAGGAUGGGCUCUCAUUGGAGAUUAGAAGAGCUCUAGAUUCUUGCGUUUGUAACGCCGUGCCAGUACUCAUAUCAAACUUGAGGUUGCAGAUACCGGUUUCAAAACUGGAGAUUACUCUGGUUUAGCUUGAUGCUGGUGGCUGACAGUUAUAUCGGCGGUAACACAUGAUGAAACUACACCGUGUCUGUACCAGGGCUACUUGAUUGACACAAUGUCGUUUGUUGACGCCCUGCCUUCUCUGCGAUCGAGGCAGUGGCAGGCUGUGGUUCUGGUAAUGCUUGACGCGCUCUCUGUGCACCAGCUUCCCGCCCUUGCUCCAGUCUUUUCGAAUUCGAAGCUUGUGCAAAAGAUGUUGAACGCUGCUCAGGUUAGCAGAGAGGAGUAUGACUCCAUGGUGGACCUGUUUCUACCGUUUGGAAGAUCCGUCCAGGCGAUCACGCCCAUGUAAACGAGAAGCCGUGUGAAUCUGCAUUCCGGAAGCUGCGUGAAUCGUAGGGUCUGAUCUGAUAUUUAGUUUUACACAAGUCGCUGUCUAGAACGAGCCAUGUAUGUAUGAUUGAUUGGUUAUCUAUUGAGCAAGAUGCGCUCUGGCAAUUUGUGGAAGCUGAAAUACUUGCGACCAUGACGCCUGCCUGUCAGUUUGCGAUAUUCUUUCAGGUUGUGAGAAAUUGAUUUGCUGUCGUUCUCAGCUAUUGUUA